UACAGAGGGGGCAAGCGUUAUUCGGAAUUAUUGGGCGUAAAGGGCGCGUAGGCGGCCUGGCAAGUGGAAGGUGAAAUCCCUCGGCUUAACCGAGGAACUGCCCUCCAAACUGCUAGGCUUGAGGCCGGGAGAGGUGAGUGGAAUUCCCAGUGUAGCGGUGAAAUGCGUAGAUAUUGGGAGGAACACCAGUGGCGAAGGCGGCUCACUGGACCGGUAUUGACGCUGAGGCGCGAAAGCGUGGGGAGCAAACAGG
rnacentral:rRNA from 1 species